UUUCUGGCAACUCCAAAGUUUUGAGUGUUCCCCUAGCUGUAGCACCAAUACUAGUUUCUGUCAAGGCAAGGUACUUGCAAAACCAUGUCUGGGGUUGGAGGAUGGAGGGAAGGCAGCAGGUACAGGACAGCUACUGCCUUCAAUACUCCAUCUUCCUCUCAGGGUAACCCCUGGCAUGGCAACAGUGAAUCAGAGAAGGGUGAAAACACUCAGGAACUGACGGCAUCUGGAGGGAAACAAGGAGGCCAAGCAUCAGCGCACCAACAACAGCAAAAGCAGUAUGUUGGCCCAUAUGUCUUGGUAACUCCAAAUGAAACCAGAAGAAAACAGUUGCAGCAAAUUGCUAAGAAAGAGCUUGAUGACCUGGAGCAAUGGAAGAAACAACACAGGCCAGGGCCAAUUACGUUGGUGCCACAGAGACUGGGUGGAAACGAAUCAGAGGCUCAAGUACGACAAAACCAGCAAAUGAUUCUCAUGCAAUCUAAAUACCAGAAAAAGCACAAGAGAGAAGAGUAUGUAAAAUCAAAAAAGGCAGCUGAAGAAGCCGAAAUCCUGAAAAAGAAAGCAAUUCAGAGGGAAAAGGCAGAGAGACUUGAAGUUAAAAAAAGACAAGAAGAAAUGCAAAGAAGAGAGAUGCUUCUUGAAGAUCAAAAGUACAAAACCAAUGAAUUACUGAACAGAUUGGAUGUGGGUUUGCCAAAGAGUGAUUCCUGUCAGAUUGCUAAUCCUGGCCCAGAAUCUACAGCAUGGAAAAGAAGCCAUGCUUAUAAGCAAGCUCUUCAGGAGGAUGAAAACAGAAGAUUAGAGGAAAUGAGGCAAGAACAACGGAGGAAGGCUGAAUUACUGGAAUUUAAACAAAAGCAGGAAGAGGAAACCAGGACAAGAGCACUUAAAAGUGAACAGAGGAGGGUAAAUAAUGCUUUCCUGGACCGACUCCAGAACAAAGCACAGUCUAAUAACAUCUACCACCCUGGAUAUAGUGGACUACCUCAAUAAUGGCACCUUGGAGUCAAACUACUUGGAAUAAAGGAGGAGCAAGGGUAUUGCAGAAAUAUCCGCUUUUAUCUGGCCUAGGCCAAAUGCCCUCAUAAAAGCUCCAAGAAACUGCUCUUUAUUGUGAUUCUUUUCUUACCCUGAUUUCAACUGCACACCCUCUUCAUGAGCAAUCUGCAGAGACUGGUUUCUAGCUGUCAUUAUUCAUGCAUACAUAUUUGAAACAGCUGAUUAUGAAAGUCCUAUUUAAUUUUUAAUAAGAAUAUGUGUAGUUUUUUUUUUUCCCACAAAUUGUUUUGUCUCAUGGAGAAUGUAAUUAUCCCAGUCUUCAUGAUCUCUGGAAAAGAAGACAUAAGUGACUGCAGAAACUGCAGUAAUAUCUGUGUUUACUUGCUGCUCUUUACCCAGAAAAAAAAAACAUUUCAGAGAUAAUCUAAAAAAGCAGGUGCAGAAAACUUGAUGGCAUACUUGAUUUGCAUUUGUUUUGUUGAUCUCCAUGACUGAAAUGCUUCCUCCAUCUUCAUGGAGCCUGGUGAACAGAUGCUGUGCUGUUUUAGCACAUCUUGAAGGUCAACAAUUGCUAGCACAGCACAGACCAGAGCCUUCAAUCCCAGAAACUGGCCUGCUUGUCAUUAUUCAUGUGCCUGAUCCAACCAUAUUUGAAUAAAACAAAGACACUUGUUACAAUGAACUAAUCUGGACCUUUUACUGGAGGUUAAUUUAAGUGCAAACU